UUAACUCUCCUGUAGCUCGACUCUCCUGAACACACGCACCCACCUGCCGCCCUGGGGAGUGCCUCCCCUCCUUACAGUCUCAGCUUAUAAGUGGCCAAGCUAGAACAAGAUCCCAGCCAGUGCAGGAUUAGAACUCUUGUCCAGACAGGUCCAACCCAGUCAGAGGUAGGCAGCAUCUCAUUACAACGGCAGGAACAAAUGGCCUGAGAUUCCUCACCCAGCCUUUCUAGAAGCAAGAUGUGGAUUCAUAUUUUUGGAAAGUCAACCUUAGCCACUCAUCAGAUCUUU